rnacentral:rRNA from 1 species
CCUACGGGCGGCAGCAGUGAGGAAUAUUGGUCAAUGGACGCAAGUCUGAACCAGCCAUGCCGCGUGCAGGAAGACGGCUCUAUGAGUUGUAAACUGCAUUUGUACGAGGGUAAACGCAGAUACGCGGAACUGUCUGAAAGGAACGUACGAAUAAGGAUCGGCUAACUCCGUGCCAGCAGCCGCGGUAAUACGGAGGAUUCAAGCGUUCUCCGGAUUUAGUGGGGUUAAAGGGUGCGUAGGCGGUCGGAUAAGUUAGAGGUGAAAUCCCGAGGCUCAACUUCGGAAUUUCCUCUGAUACUGUUCGGCUAGAGCGUAGUUGCGGUAGGCGGCAUGUCUGGUGUAGCGGUGACAUGCUUAGAGAUCCUACAGAACCCCGAUUGCGACGGCAGCUUACCAAGCUACUUCUGACGUUGAGGCACGACAGCGU